AAAAUACUUAUACUUUAAAUCUAAGGCUUCGUUUGGAACUACAAUUCACUUCAACUCAUCUCAAUUCAUCAUUACAAUUUUUUCAAAUUUCAAUACAAAAUAUAAUAAACAAUUCAACUUUUUUAAAUCUCAAAAUAAUAAUAUUAUUAA